AAAGUCGUAACAAGGUUUCCGUAGGUGAACCUGCGGAAGGAUCAUUAACACUUUUUAUUAUUUUGUUUUUUUUUCUAAAACAAAAUUUAAAACCCCACAAUUUUGGAUGAAUUUAAUUAAUUUAUUUUUUAUUUUAUUUUUUUUAUUAUAACCCUAUUAUUUGACUAACAUUUUUAUUUAAUUAUUAAAAAAUUAAAAAAACAACUCUUAACAACGGAUAUCUUGGCUCUC
rnacentral:misc_RNA from 1 species